rnacentral:rRNA from 1 species
GACGAACGCUGGCGGCGUGCUUAACACAUGCAAGUCGAACGGAAAGGCCCUGCUUUUGUGGGGUGCUCGAGUGGCGAACGGGUGAGUAACACGUGAGUAACCUGCCCUUGACUUUGGGAUAACUUCAGGAAACUGGGGCUAAUACCGGAUAGGAGCUCCUGCUGCAUGGUGGGGGUUGGAAAGUUUCGGCGGUUGGGGCUGGACUCGCGGCUUAUCAGCUUGUUGGUGGGGUAGUGGCUUACCAAGGCUUUGACGGGUAGCCGGCCUGAGAGGGUGACCGGCCACAUUGGGACUGAGAUACGGCCCAGACUCCUACGGGAGGCAGAAGGGGGGAAUAUUGUACAAUGGGCGGAAGCCUGAUGCAGCGACGCCGCGUGCGGGAUGACGGCCUUCGGGUUGUGAACCGCUUUCGCCUGUGACGAAGCGUGAGUGACGGUAAUGGGUGAAGAAGCACCGGCUAACUACGUG